rnacentral:lncRNA from 1 species
AAAAUGAAGUGUGUGUGUGGGGGGGGAGGGGGGAAACGCUGAAGAAGUUCUAAGAAAUGCUUUCAAGCAGGCGCUGCAUGUUGGAGAAUGGAUUCCUUGUUUUGACUCCAAUAUCUUCACUGCUGUUUGCUGCACAAUGUCCACAUUGUUGAGAUAUUGCCAUGGUGACAUACUGCAGGCCACUAUUGAGUCGCCCAUCAGUUCAUUACAAGGUUCUUCGAACAGAAGACUGUCAACUGACCUUGCACGUAAAUUAGGCCUCUGA